rnacentral:Y_RNA from 1 species
GGCUGGUCCAAAGGUAGUGAGUGUCACUUGAUUAUUCACAGUCAGUUACAGUUAACUCCUUGUUCUUCUACUCCCCCGCCCCACUCAUGCACUUGACUAGUCUUUC